GACGAACGCUGGCGGCGUGCCUAAUACAUGCCAGUCGAACGCAGUGGGGACGGGUGAGUAACACGUGGGUAACCUCCCAUCAGAGGGGAUAACACUUGGAAACAGGUGCGAACACGCUACAGAUGGAUGGAUCCGCGUUGCAUUAGCGAGUUGGGGAGGUAACGGCGCACCAAGGCCACGAUGCAGAGCCGACCUGAGAGGGGGAUCGGCCAAACUGGGACUGAGACACGGCCCAGACUCCUACGGGAGGCAGCAGUAGGGAAUCUUCGGCAAUGGACGAAAGUCUGACCGAGCAACGCCGCGUGAGUGAAGAAGGUUUUCGGAUCGUAAAACUCUGUUGUUAGAGAAGCGGUAUCUAACCAGAAAGCCACGGCUAACUACGUGCCAGCCGCCGCGGUAAUAC
rnacentral:rRNA from 1 species